CAGUGAUAAACUGGAGGAAGGUGGGGAUGACGUCAAGUCAUCAUGGCCCUUACGAGUAGGGCUACACACGUGCUACAAUGGCAUAUACAAAGAGAAGCGACCUCGCGAGAGCAAGCGGACCUCAUAAAGUAUGUCGUAGUCCGGAUUGGAGUCUGCAACUCGACUCCAUGAAGUCGGAAUCGCUAGUAAUCGUGGAUCAGAAUGCCACGGUGAAUACGUUCCCGGGCCUUGUACACACCGCCCGUCACACCAUGGGAGUGGGUUGCAAAAGAAGUAGGUAGCUUAACCUUCGGGAGGGCGCUUACCACUUUGUGAUUCAUGACUGGGGUGAAGUCGUAACAAGGUAACCGUAGGGGAACCUGCGGUUGGAUC
rnacentral:rRNA from 1 species